rnacentral:rRNA from 1 species
AGCGAACGCUGGCGGCAGGCCUAAUACAUGCAAGUCGAACGGUCUCUUCGGAGGCAGUGGCGGACGGGUGAGUAACGCGUGGGAACGUGCCCUUUGGUACGGAACAACUGAGGGAAACUUCAGCUAAUACCGUAUGUGCCCUUCGGGGAAAGAUUUAUCGCCAUUGGAGCGGCCCGCGUUGGAUUAGCUAGUUGGUGGGGUAAUGGCCCACCAAGGCGACGAUCCAUAGCUGGUCUGAGAGGAUGAUCAGCCACACUGGGACUGAGACACGGCCCAGACUCCUACGGGAGGCAGCAGUAGGGAAUCUUGCGCAAUGGGCGAAAGCCUGACGCAGCCAUGCCGCGUGAAUGAUGAAGGUCUUAGGAUUGUAAAUUCUUUCACCGGGGACGAUAAUGACGGUACCGGAGAAGAAGCCCCGGCUAACUUCGUGCCAGCAGCCG